UCCUGUGAUCUUUGUUCAAGUCACUGGAUUGGAUUUGGAAAUAGCUGUUAUCAUCAUUCCAGUGAACUCAAAACCUGGCCAGAGAGCCAUGCUGCCUGUGCCAAGCUGAAUUCCCAUCUUCUGAAGAUAGAUAUCAAUGAAGAGCUGGAAAUCUUAUCAAUCUUUCAAAUGAAAGGAUGGAUAGGUCUCAAAAUCAAUGAAACAAAUGGGUUCUGGUUAUGGGAAGAUGGCAUCAAAGGGAUCCAAAGUGUAUUAAAAUUUCUGAAAGGAGAGAACCAUAGCUGUGCAUAUAUAGGAGGAAAAUAUGUUUAUGCGGAUGACUGUUCAUCUCGGAAAAGUUAUGUCUGCGAGUUUAGUAUUUAGCAACUGGUUUACUAACGCAUGC